UACGUAGGGUGCGGGCGUUGUCCGGAAUUAUUGGGCGUAAAGAGCUCGUAGGCGGUUUGUUGCGUCGGCCGUGAAAACUUGGGGCUUAACCCCGAGCCUGCGGUCGAUACGGGCAGACUUGAGUUCGGCAGGGGAGACUGGAAUUCCUGGUGUAGCGGUGAAAUGCGCAGAUAUCAGGAGGAACACCGGUGGCGAAGGCGGGUCUCUGGGCCGAUACUGACGCUGAGGAGCGAAAGCGUGGGGAGCGAACAGG
rnacentral:rRNA from 1 species